rnacentral:misc_RNA from 1 species
GUAUUUCAUUGCGUUAAACGCGACAUACAUUCCAUGAGACUUUGCUACGGUGUGUGUGUAAAGACAUAGAACCACAGCAGGAGGACAGGGCCCCCCAGGCCAUAGAACUACAGAGGGUGCACAGGUGUGAGUGGAUGUGUAAACAGAGCGUGCACAUGCCCCCAUACAGGGGCCAGCAACAACCCUUGUUGACAAUUCGGUAAUGAUCCUUCCGCAGGUUCACCUACGGAAA